UAUUGCACAAUGGGCGCAAGCCUGAUGCAGCGACGCCGCGUGAGGGAUGGAGGCCUUCGGGUUGUAAACCUCUUUUGUUAGGGAGCAAGGCAUUUUGUGUUGAGUGUACCUUUCGAAUAAGCACCGGCUAACUACGUGCCAGCAGCCGCGGUAAUACGUAGGGUGCAAGCGUUAUCCGGAAUUAUUGGGCGUAAAGGGCUCGUAGGCGGUUCGUCGCGUCCGGUGUGAAAGUCCAUCGCUUAACGGUGGAUCCGCGCCGGGUACGGGCGGGCUUGAGUGCGGUAGGGGAGACUGGAAUUCCCGGUGUAACGGUGGAAUGUGUAGAUAUCGGGAAGAACACCAAUGGCGAAGGCAGGUCUCUGGGCCGUUACUGACGCUGAGGAGCGAAAGCGUGGGGAGCGAACAG
rnacentral:rRNA from 1 species